rnacentral:rRNA from 1 species
AUUGAGCGCUGGCGGAAUGCUUUACACAUGCAAGUCGAACGGUAGAGGGGGCAACCCCUUGAGAGUGGCGAACGGGUGAGUAAUACAUCGGAACAUGCCCAGUCGUGGGGGAUAACGUAGCGAAAGCUACGCUAAUACCGCAUACGAUCUAUGGAUGAAGGCGGGGGACCGAAAGGCCUCGCGCGAUUGGAGUGGCCGGUGGCAGAUUAGGUAGUUGGUGGGGUAAAGGCCUACCCAGCCUGCGAUCUGUAGCUGGUCUGAGAGGACGACCAGCCACACUGGGACUGAGACACGGCCCAGACUCCUACGGGAGGCAGCAGUGGGGAAUUUUGGACAAUGGGCGCAAGCCUGAUCCAGCCAUUCCGCGUGCAGGAUGAAGGCCCUCGGGUUGUAAACUGCUUUUGUACGGAACGAAAAGGUGGCCUCUAAUACAGGUUGCUGAUGACGGUACCGUAAGAAUAAGCACCGGCUAACUACGUGCCAGCCGCCGCCGUAA